rnacentral:rRNA from 1 species
UCCGUAGGUGAACCUGCGGAAGGAUCAUUACCUAGAGUUGCGGGCUUUGCCUGCCAUCUCUUACCCAUGUCUUUUGAGUACCUUCGUUUCCUCGGCGGGUUCGCCCGCCGAUUGGACAAAACUUAAACCCUUUGUAAUUGAAAUCAGCGUCUGAAAAAAACAUAAUAGUUACAACUUUCAACAACGGAUCUCUUGGUUCUGGCAUCGAUGAAGAACGCAGCGAAAUGCGAUAAGUAGUGUGAAUUGCAGAAUUCAGUGAAUCAUCGAAUCUUUGAACGCACAUUGCGCCCCUUGGUAUUCCAUGGGGCAUGCCUGUUCGAGCGUCAUUUGUACCUUCAAGCUCUGCUUGGUGUUGGGUGUUUGUCUCGCCUCUGCGCGCAGACUCGCCUCAAAACGAUUGGCAGCCGGCGUAUUGAUUUCGGAGCGCAGUACAUCUCGCGCUUUGCACUCACAACGACGACGUCCAAAAAGUACAUUUUUACACUCUUGACCUCGGAUCAGGUAGGGAUACCCGCUGAACUUAAGCAUAUCAAUAAGCGGAGGA